UGGGAAAUAUAAUGAGCCCACUGAUUAUAAUGCUAGCCAAGAAUCUAUUGGGACCUUGGGGGAGAAAAUGGCUGAAAUACAUGAAAGUGAGAUCCUGGAUAAAGAGAGGGAGGAGAAAGAUGUUGAAAUCAAGAGAAGCAUGAGAAACAAAGGAAAAGAAGACAAGAAAAUUGAGGAUAUGGCUAAAAGCAGAGCUGAGGAGAGAGACAAUUAUGGUAAGAAUUCUGAACUAGCUUUUGAUGAUGCCUCCUUAUUACAUAUUAGUGCUCUAGUUGGGAUUGAUCUAGGAUGUUCAAUAGAGAUGAUUGAUAAAAAUACUGAUAUUAUUAACAAGAUGGAAAUAGCUAGAAGGCAGCGCAUGAAGCGAUUUGGGUGAAGGAGUUCAUCACCGACCUAGGAGUCAUACCCAAUGCGUCGGGGCCAAUCAAACUCUUCUGUGACAACACUGGAGCUAUUGCCCUUGCCAAGGAGCCCAGGUUUCACAAGAAGACCAGGCACAUCAAGCAUCGUUUCAACUCCAUCCGUGAAAAUGUUCAAGAUGGAGACAUAGAAAUUUGCAAAGUACAUACGGAUCUGAAUGUCGCAGAUCCGUUGACUAAACCUCUCUCGCGAGCUAAACAUGAUCAACACCAGAACUCUAUGGGUGUUCGAUUCAUCACAAUGUAACUAGAUUGGUGACUCUAGUGCAAGUGGGAGACUGUUGGAAAUAUGCCCUAGAGGCAAUAAUAAAAGUAUUAUUAUAUUUCAUUGUUCAUGAUAAUUGUCUUUUAUUCAUGCUAUAACUGUAUUAUCCGUAAAUCGUAAUACACGUGUGAAUACAUAGACCUCAAUAUGUCCGUAGUGAGCCUCUAGUUGACUAGCUCGUUGUGAUCAACAGAUAGUCAUGAUUUCCUGGCUAUGGACAUUGGAUGUCGUUGAUAACGGGAUCACAUCAUUAGGAGAAUGAUGUGAUGGACAAGACCCAAUCCUAAGCAUAGCACAAAGGUCGUUUAGUUCGUUUGCUAGAGCUUUGCCAAUGUCAAGUAUCUCUUCCUUAGACCAUGAGAUCAUGUAACUCCCGGAUACCGUAGGAGUGCCUUGGGUGUAUCAAACGUCACAACGUAACUGGGUGACUAUAAAGGUGCAUUACAGGUAUCUCCGAAAGUAGCUGUUGGGUUGACACGGAUCGAGACUGGGAUUUGUCACUCCGUAUGACGGAGAGGUAUCUCUGGGCCCACUCGGUAAUGCAUCAUCAUAAUGAGCUCAAGGUGACCAAAGUGUUGGCCACGAGAUCAUGCAUUACGGUACGAGUAAAGUGACUUGCCGGUAACGAGACUGAACAAGGUAUUGGGAUACCGACGAUCGAGUCUCGGGCAAGUAACGUACCGAUUGACAAAGGGAAUUGUAUACAGGGUUUGAUCGAAUCCUCGACAUCGUGGUUCAUCCGAUGACAACAUCGAGAAGCAUGUGGAGCCAACAUGGGUAUCCAGAUCCCGCUGUUGGUUAUUGACCGGAGAACGUCUCGGUCAUGUCUACAUGUCUCCCGAACCCGUAGGGUCUACACACUUAAGGUUCGAUGACGCUAGGGUUAUAAAGGAAGUUUGUAUGUGGUUACCGAAUGUUGUUCGGAGUCCCGGAUGAGAUCCCGGACGUCACGAGGAGUUCCGGAAUGGUCCGGAGGUAAAGAUUUAUAUAUGGGAAGUCCUAUUUUGGCCACGGGAAAAUGUUCGGGAUUUUUCGGUAUUGUACCGGGAAGGUUCUAGAAGGUUCCGGAGUGGGGCCCACCUGCAUGGGGGGACCCACAUGAACGUGAGUAGUGGGAGAAAGGCCCCACACCCCUGGUCAAGGCGCACCAAGAUCCCCCCUUAGAAGGAAUAAGAUCAUAUCCCGAAGGGAUAAGAUCAAGAUCCCUAAAAAGGGGGGAUAACAAUCGGUGGAGAAGGAAAUGAUGGGAUUUCUUUCCUCCCACCUUGGCCAACGCCCCAAUGGACUUGGAGGGCAAGAAACCAGCCCCUCCACCCCUAUAUAUAGUGGGGAGGCGCAUGGGAGCUUAACACAAGCCAAGGCGCAGCCCCUCCCCUCCCCAACACCUUUCCUCCUCCGUAUAUGCUUGGCGAAGCCCUGUCGGAGUACUGCUGCACCAACUACACCACGCCGUCGUGCUGCCGUUGGAGCAAUCUUCCUCAACCUCUCCUUCCCCCUUGCUGGAUCAAUAAGGAGGAGACGUCUCCCGCCCCAUACUUGUGUUGAACACGGAGGUGCUGUCCGUUGAGCACUUGGACAUCGGUGAUCCGAAUCACGUUCGAGUACGACUCCAUCAUCACCAUCCCCUUGGCUAGCUUCCGCUCGUGAUCUACAAGUGGUAUGUAGAUGCAAACUCUCUCCCUUGACUCGUUGCUUAGAUGAACUCAUAGAUGGAUCUUGGUGAAACCGUAGGAAAAUUUUUAAUUUUCUGCAACGUUCCCCAACAGUGGCAUCAUGAGCUAGGUCUAUGCAUAGUUCUCUUUGCACGAGUAGAACACAAUUUUGUUGUGGGCGUGGAUUUUGUCAUCUUACUUGCCUCUACUAGUUUUUUCUUGCUUCGGCGGUAUUGUGGGAUGAAGCGGCCCGGACCAACCUUACACGUACGCUUACGUGAGACCGGUUCCACCGACUGACAUGCACUAGUUGCAUAAGGUGGCUGGCGGGUGUCUGUCUCUCCCACUUUAGUUGGAGCGGAUUCGAUGAAAAGGGCCCUUAUGAAGGGUAAAUAGAAGUUGAAAAAAUCACGUUGUGGUUAUUCGUAGGUAAGAAAACGUUCUUGCUAGAACCCAAUUGCAGCCACGUAAAAGAUGCAACAACAAUUAGAGGACGUCUAACUUGUUUUUGCAGCGAUUGAUCAUGUGAUGUGAUAUGGCCAGAAGUUGUGAUGAAUGAUGAAUUGUGAUGUAUGAGAUCAUGUUCUUUGUAAUAGGAUUCACGACUUGCAUGUCGAUGAGUAUGACAACCGGCAGGAGCCAUAGGAGUUGUCUUUAUUUUUUGUAUGACCUGCGUGUCAUUGAAGAACGCCAUGUAACUCACUUUACUUUAUUGCUAAACGCGUUAGCCAUAGAAGUAGAAGUAGUCGUUGGCGUGACAACUUCAUGAAGACACGAUGAUGGAGAUCAUGAUGAUGGAGAUCAUGGUGUCAAGCCGGUGACAAGAUGAUCAUGGAGCCCCGAAGAUGAAGAUCAAUGGAGCUAUAUGAUAUUGGCCAUAUCAUGUCACAACUAUAUAAUGGCAUGUGAUGUUUAUUAUGUUUAUGCAUCUUGUUUACUUAGGACGACGGUAGUAAAUAAGAUGAUCCCUUACAAAAAUUUCAAGAAGUGUUCUCCCCUAACUGUGCACCGUUGCUACAGUUCGUCGCUUCUAAGCACCACGUGAUGAUCGGGUGUGAUGGAUUCUUACGUUCACAUACAACGGGUGUAAGACAGUUUUACACAGCGAAAACACUUAGGGUUAACUUGACGAGCCUAGCAUGUGCAGACAUGGCCUCGGAACACGGAGACCGAAAGGUCGAACACGAGUCGUAUGGAAGAUACGAUCAACAUGAGAAUGUUCACCGAUGAUGACUAGUCCGUCUCACGUGAUGAUCGGACACGGCCUAGUCGACUCGGAUCGUGUAACACUUAGAUGACUAAAGGGAUGUCUAAUCUGAGUGAGAGUUCAUAAUUUGAUUAGAACUUAAUUAUCAUGAACUUAGUCUAAAACCUUUGCAAAUAUGUCUUGUAGAUCAAAUGGCCAACGCUCAUGUCAACAUGAACUUCAAUGCGUUCCUAGAGAAAACCAAGCUGAAAGAUGAUGGCAGCAACUACACGGACUGGGUCCGGAACCUGAGGAUCAUCCUCAUAGCUGCCAGGAAACAAUAUGUCCUAGAAGGACCGCUAGGUGACGCUCCCGUCCCAGAGAACCAAGACAUUAUGAAUGCUUGGCAAACUCGCGCUGAUGAUUACUCCCUUGUUCAGUGCGGCAUGCUUUACAGCUUAGAACCGGGGCUCCAAAAGCGUUUUGAGCAUCACGGAGCAUAUGAGAUGUUCGAAGAGCUGAAACUAGUUUUCCAAGCUCAUGCCCAGGUCGAGAGAUAUGAUGUCUCCGACAAGUUCUACAGUUGUAAGAUGGAGGAAAACAGUUCUGUCAGUGAGCACAUCCUGAAGAUGUCUGGGUUGCACAACCGUAUGACCCAGCUGAACAUUAACCUCCCAGAUGAGGCGGUCAUUGACAGAAUCCUCCAGUCGCUCCCACCAAGCUACAAGAGCUUUGUGAUGAACUACAACAUGCAGGGGAUGGAAAAGACCAUUCCUGAAGUGUUCUCGAUGCUGAAGUCAGCAGAGGCUGAAAUCAAGAAAGAACAUCAAGUGUUGAUGGUCAAUAAGACCACUAAGUUCAAGAAGGGCAAGGGUAAGAAGAACUUCAAGAAGGACGACAAGGAGGUUGCCGCGCCUGGUAAGCCAGUUACCGGGAAGAAGUCAAAGAAUGGACCUAAGCCUGAGACUGAGUGCUUUUAUUACAAGGGGAAGGGUCACUGGAAGCGGAACUGCCCCAAAUACUUAGCAGAUAAGAAGGCCGGCAAAACCAAAGGUAUAUUUGAUAUACAUGUAAUUGAUGUGUACCUUACCAGUACUCGUAGUAACUCCUGGGUAUUUGAUACCGGUGCCGUUGCUCAUAUUUGUAACUCACAGCAGGAGCUGCGGAAUAAACGGAGACUGGCGAAGGACGAGGUGACGAUGCGCGUCGGGAAUGGUUCCAGAGUCGAUGUGAUCGCCGUCGGCACGCUGCCUCUACAUUUACCUACGGGAUUAGUUUUGAACCUUAAUAAUUGUUAUUUAGUGCCAAGUUUGAGCAUGAACAUUGUAUCUGGAUCUCGUUUAAUACGAGAUGGCUACUCAUUUAAGUCUGAGAAUAAUGGUUGUUCGAUUUAUAUGAGAGAUAUGUUUUAUGGUCAUGCUCCGAUGGUCAAUGGUUUAUUCUUAAUGAAUCUCGAGCGUAAUGUUACACAUGUUCAUAGUGUAGAUGCCAAAAGAUGUAAAGUUGAUAACGAUAGUCCCACAUACUUGUGGCACUGCCGCCUUGGUCACAUUGGUGUCAAGCGCAUGAAGAAGCUCCAUGCCGAUGGACUUUUAGAGUCUCUUGAUUAUGAAUCGUUUGACACGUGCGAACCAUGCCUCAUGGGCAAGAUGACCAAGACUCCGUUCUCCGGAACAAUGGAGCGAGCAACCAACUUAUUGGAAAUCAUACAUACCGAUGUGUGCGGUCCAAUGAGCGUUGAGGCUCGCGGAGGAUAUCGUUAUGUUCUCACUCUCACUGAUGACUUAAGUAGAUAUGGGUAUGUCUACUUAAUGAAACACAAGUCUGAGACCUUUGAAAAGUUCAAGGAAUUUCAGAAUGAGGUGGAGAAUCAACGUGACCGAAAGAUAAAGUGCCUACGAUCAGAUCGUGGAGGAGAAUACUUAAGUCACGAAUUUGGCACACACUUAAGGAAAUGUGGAAUCGUUUCACAACUCACGCCGCCUGGAACACCUCAGCGAAACGGUGUGUCCGAACGUCGUAAUCGCACUCUAUUGGAUAUGGUGCGGUCUAUGAUGUCUCUUACUGAUUUACCGCUAUCAUUUUGGGGAUACGCUCUAGAGACAGCUACAUUCACUUUAAAUAGGGCACCGUCUAAAUCCGCUGAGACGACACCGUAUGAAUUAUGGUUUGGGAAGAAACCUAAGCUGUCGUUUCUAAAAGUUUGGGGAUGCGAUGCUUAUGUCAAGAAACUUCAACCUGAAAAGCUCGAACCCAAGUCGGAAAAAUGCGUCUUCAUAGGAUACCCUAAGGAAACUGUCGGGUAUACCUUCUACUUAAGAUCCGAGGGCAAAAAUCUUUGUUGCCAAGAACGGAUUCUUUCUGGAAAAAGAGAUUCUCUCGAAAGAAGUAAGUGGGAGGAAAGUAGAACUCGAUGAAGUACUACCUCUCGAACGGGAAAGUGGUGCAGCUCAGGAAAAUGUUCCUGUGAUGCCCACACCAAUUGAAGAGGAAACCAAUGAUGAUGAUCAAGGUACUUCGGAUCAAGUUGCUACUGAACUUCGUAGGUCCACAAGGACACGUUCCGCGCCAGAGAGGUACGACAACCCCGUCCUGGAAAUCAUGUUGUUAGACAACGAUGAACCUUCGAACUAUGAAGAAGCGAUGGCGGGCCCAGAUUCCAACAAAUGGCUUGAAGCCAUGAAAUCCGAGAUAGAAUCCAUGUAUGAAAACAAAGUAUGGACUUUGACAGACUUGCCCGAUGAUCGGUGAGCGAUAGAAAACAAAUGGAUCUUUAAGAAGAAGACAGACGCGGAUGGUAAUGUCACCAUCUAUAAAGCUCGACUUGUCGCUAAGGGUUAUCGACAGGUUCAAGGGAUUGACUACGACGAGACAUUCUCUCCCGUAGCGAAGCUAAAGUCUGUCCGAAUCAUGUUAGCAAUUGCCGCAUACUAUGAUUAUGAGAUAUGGCAGAUGGACGUGAAAAUAGCAUUCCUUAACGGGCAUCUUAAGGAAGAACUGUAUAUGAUGCAGCCGGAAGGUUUUGUCGAUCCUAAGAACGCUAACAAAGUAUGCAAGCUCCAGCGAUCCAUUUAUGGGCUGGUGCAAGCAUCUCGGAGUUGGAAUAUUCGCUUUGAUGAGAUGAUCAAAGCGUUUGGGUUUAUGCAGACUUAUGGAGAAGCCUGCGUUUACAAGAAAGUGAGUGGGAGCUCUGUAGCAUUUCUCAUAUUAUAUGUAGAUGACAUACUCUUGAUGGGAAAUAAUAUAGAAUUUCUGGACAGCAUUAAGGCCUACUUGAAUAAGUGUUUUUCAAUGAAGGACCUUGGAGAAGCUGCUUACAUAUUAGGCAUCAAGAUCUAUAGAGAUAGAUCGAGACGCCUCAUAGGUCUUUCACAAAGCACAUACCUUGAUAAGAUUUUGAAGAGGUUCAAAAUGGAUCAGUCCAAGAAGGGGUUCUUGCCUAUGUUACAAGGUGUGAGAUUGAGCUCGGCUCAGUCACUGACCACGGCAAAAGAUAAAGAAGAGAUGAGUGUCAUCCCCUAUGCUUCAGCCAUAGGAUCUAUUAUGUAUGCCAUGCUGUGUACCAGAACUGAUGUAAACCUUGCCGUGAGUUUGGUAGCUAGAUACCAAAGUAAUCCCGGCAAGGAACACUGGACAGCAGUCAAGAAUAUCCUGAAGUACCUGAAAAGGACAAAGGACAUGUUUCUCGUUUAUGGAGGAGACGAAGAGCUUGUCGUAAAGGGUUACGUCGACGCUAGCUUUGACUCAGAUCCGGAUGACUCUAAGUCACAAACCGGAUACGUGUAUAUGUUGAAUGGUGGAGCAGUAAGCUGGUGCAGCUGCAAGCAGAGCGUCGUGGCGGGAUCUACGUGUGAAGCGGAGUACAUGGCAGCCUCGGAGGCAGCGCAUGAAGCGAUUUGGGUGAAGGAGUUCAUCACCGACCUAGGAGUCAUACCCAAUGCGUCGGGGCCAAUCAAACUCUUCUGUGACAACACUGGAGCUAUUGCCCUUGCCAAGGAGCCCAGGUUUCACAAGAAGACCAGGCACAUCAAGCAUCGUUUCAACUCCAUCCGUGAAAAUGUUCAAGAUGGAGACAUAGAAAUUUGCAAAGUACAUACGGAUCUGAAUGUCGCAGAUCCGUUGACUAAACCUCUCUCGCGAGCUAAACAUGAUCAACACCAGAACUCUAUGGGUGUUCGAUUCAUCACAAUGUAACUAGAUUGGUGACUCUAGUGCAAGUGGGAGACUGUUGGAAAUAUGCCCUAGAGGCAAUAAUAAAAGUAUUAUUAUAUUUCAUUGUUCAUGAUAAUUGUCUUUUAUUCAUGCUAUAACUGUAUUAUCCGUAAAUCGUAAUACACGUGUGAAUACAUAGACCUCAAUAUGUCCCUAGUGAGCCUCUAGUUGACUAGCUCGUUGUGAUCAACAGAUAGUCAUGAUUUCCUGGCUAUGGACAUUGGAUGUCGUUGAUAACGGGAUCACAUCAUUAGGAGAAUGAUGUGAUGGACAAGACCCAAUCCUAAGCAUAGCACAAAGGUCGUUUAGUUCGUUUGCUAGAGCUUUGCCAAUGUCAAGUAUCUCUUCCUUAGACCAUGAGAUCGUGUAACUCCCGGAUACCGUAGGAGUGCCUUGGGUGUAUCAAACGUCACAACGUAACUGGGUGACUAUAAAGGUGCAUUACAGGUAUCUCCGAAAGUAGCUGUUGGGUUGACACGGAUCGAGACUGAGAUUUGUCACUCCGUAUGACGGAGAGGUAUCUCUGGGCCCACUCGGUAAUGCAUCAUCAUAAUGAGCUCAAGGUGACCAAAGUGUUGGCCACGAGAUCAUGCAUUACGGUACGAGUAAAGUGACUUGCCGGUAACGAGACUGAACAAGGUAUUGGGAUACCGACGAUCGAGUCUCGGGCAAGUAACGUACCGAUUGACAAAGGGAAUUGUAUACAGGGUUUGAUCGAAUCCUCGACAUCGUGGUUCAUCCGAUGACAACAUCGAGAAGCAUGUGGAGCCAACAUGGGUAUCCAGAUCCCGCUGUUGGUUAUUGACCGGAGAACGUCUCGGUCAUGUCUACAUGUCUCCCGAACCCGUAGGGUCUACACACUUAAGGUUCGAUGACGCUAGGGUUAUAAAGGAAGUUUGUAUGUGGUUACCGAAUGUUGUUCGGAGUCCCGGAUGAGAUCCCGGACGUCACGAGGAGUUCCGGAAUGGUCCGGAGGUAAAGAUUUAUAUAUGGGAAGUCCUAUUUUGGCCACCGGAAAAUGUUCGGGAUUUUUCGGUAUUGUACCGGGAAGGUUCUAGAAGGUUCCGGAGUGGGGCCCACCUGCAUGGGGGGACCCACAUGAACGUGAGUAGUGGGGGAAAGGCCCCACACCCCUGGUCAAGGCGCACCAAGAUCCCCCCUUAGAAGGAAUAAGAUCAUAUCCCGAAGGGAUAAGAUCAAGAUCCCUAAAAAGGGGGGAUAACAAUCGGUGGAGAAGGAAAUGAUGGGAUUUCUUUCCUCCCACCUUGGCCAACGCCCCAAUGGACUUGUAGGGCAAGAAACCAGCCCCUCCACCCCUAUAUAUAGUGGGGAGGCGCAUGGGAGCUUAACACAAGCCAAGGCGCAGCCCCUCCCCUCCCCAACACCUCUCCUCCUCCGUAUAUGCUUGGCGAAGCCCCGUCGGAGUACUGCUGCACCAACUACACCACGCCGUCGUGCUGCCGUUGGAGCAAUCUUCCUCAACCUCUCCUUCCCCCUUGCUGGAUCAAGAAGGAGGAGACGUCUCCCGUCCCGUACGUGUGUUGAACGCGGAGGUGCUGUCCGUUCAGCACUUGGACAUCGGUGAUCCGAAUCACGUUCGAGUACGACUCCAUCAUCACCAUCCCCUUGGCUAGCUUCCGCUCAUGAUCUACAAGUGGUAUGUAGAUGCAAACUCUCUCCCUUGACUCGUUGCUUAGAUGAACUCAUAGAUGGAUCUUGGUGAAACCGUAGGAAAAAGUUUAAUUUUCUGCAACGUUCCCCAACAAAGAUAUAUUAGGGAGAUGAUUAUGGAUCAGAAGCUAGACUUUAUUGGACUCUCUAAGACCAUAAAACAAGACUUCACAAACAAUGAGUUGCAUAAUUUGUGUGGAGGGAGGAAUUUUCAAUGGAGCUGGAAUCCACCCAGAGGCAUGUCAGGGGGAAUCCUGGUGGGGGUUAACAAAGAUGUGUUUGAUAUAGAAAAUAUUGAAAAAGGACAAUAUUUCUUGAGAAUGUUAAUAUUUGAUAAAAAUAUCAAAAUGUACUGGAAUUUGGUUACUGUGUAUGGGGAUGCACAGAAGGAUGGAAAAGCAAGCUUCCUUGCUGAAUUGGCAAGAUUGUAUCAUGACAAUCCUCUGCCUUGCUUGGUUGGGGGAGACUUCAACAUUAUCAGAAGUGGAAAAGAGAAGAACAAACCUAUGCUUAAUGAGAAAUGGUCCUUCAUGUUCAAUGCCAUUAUUGAACAAGCAGGACUUAGGGAAUUACCACUGAAUGGGAGAAAAUACACUUGGGGUAAUAAUCAGGAGGAUCCUACUUUCGAAAAACUAGAUAGAGUGCUGAUGUGCCCAGCUUGGGAGGAGAAAUACCCACUCACCAUAUUGCAAGCCUUUGCUAGAGAGAUCUCUGAUCACACUCCUUUGUUCCUGGACACAGGGGAAACUCAUGCUCACAAAUAUAUUUUUAGAUAUGAAAAUGCUUGGUUGCUGAGAGAAGGUUUUAGAGAGCUGGUAUAUAACACCUGGAAUGAGAGAUACUUUGGGGAUGUUUUGGAUAGAUGGCAAUCAAGGUUGAGGAAAUUGAGGCAAAAAGCUAAAGGAUGGAAUAGGAAUAUUGAUGCUUGGUACAUAAAAAUAAAAAUGGAAAUAAUAAAGGAGCUUGAUGAUUUAGAUAAGAGAGCUGAGGUCAUGGGUUUAAGUGCGGUGGAUAGAAGUGAGCAGAAAGAGCUUAGAGCCCAAUUAAAAAGAGUAAUGAUACAAGAGGAGAUGAAAUGGUUGCAAAGAUAUAAAGAUUCGGAGAUUAAGGAUGGAGAUAGGAAUACUAGAUAUUAUCAUGCUAAGGUGAACGGGAGAAGAAGGAAAAACAAAAUUGUUUCCCUUGAACAGGAGGAAGGGAUUAUAGAAGGGGAUGAGAAGUUGAUGGAAUAUAUCACCAAAUUCUAUAAAGAAUUAUUUGGACAUCCUGAAGAAUCUAGUAUCUCAUUGAGGGAGAUGGAGAUGGAUAAGAUCAAUGAACAAGAAAGAGAGGAGCUCUUGACACCUUUCUCCUUAAAUGAAAUUCAGCGAGUGGUGUUUGGGAUGAAAAGAAAUAAAAGUAUUGGCCCUGAUGGAUUCCCUGCUGACUUUUACCAAGAUUUUUGGGAAGUGGUCAAAUGGGAUCUAAAAAAUCUAGUAGAUGGUUUUGCUAAAGGAGAAAUUAAUAUUGCUAGACUCAACUAUGGCAUAAUUACUUUAAUCCCAAAAACUAAUGAUGCUAAACAAAUUCAGAAGUUUAGACCUAUUUGCCUGCUGAAUGUUAGUUUUAAAAUCAUCAGUAAGAUUCUGAUGAACAGGCUGGCUAAGUGUGUGGCCCCUGUGAUUUCUAAAACCCAAACUGCCUUUAUCAAAGGCAGAUAUAUUAUGGAAGGGGUUGUGAUUUUGCAUGAGGCAAUGAAUUCCUUUCAUAAAAAUAAGGAAGAUGCCCUGGUUUUUAAAGUGGAUUUUGAGAAGGCAUAUGACAAAAUUAAGUGGCCAUUUGUUAUACAGAUGUUAAAAAUGAAGGGGUUUCCUGACAAAUGGUGUGAUUGGGUGAUGGAAACUAUGAGAGGGGGACAUGUUGGGAUUAAAGUGAAUGAUGAAAUUGGCCCAUAUUUCAAAACCUUUAAAGGAUUGAGGCAAGGGGAUGCCAUGUCACCUUUGCUGUUUGACAUUGCUGCUGAUGCCCUAGCCUUCAUAAUGAGUAAUGCCUUGAAACAUGACCUGGUUAAAGGAGUGUUAAACAGUGAUAGGGGGAAGGGGAUUAAUAUGCUACAAUAUGCUGAUGAUACCAUAUUCUUGAUAAAGGAUGAGAUAGAAAGUGUGAAGAACCUUAAACUCAUACUAGGAGCUUUUGAGCAAAUGUCUGGGCUUAAGAUAAACUUUCACAAAAGUGAAUUGUUGUUGUUUGGCAAAGCCAGAGAAAAACAAAUGGUUUACCAAGAAAUACUAACAUGUAAGAUGGGAGAUUUGCCCAUAAAAUACCUGGGGAUGCCUGUAUCUGAAAAUAGAAUCAGGAACUCUCAUUGGGAGUGUGUAACUGACAAAAUUGAAAAAAGAUGUGGGUGCUGGCAGGGGAAGUUGCUGGGCUCCAUUGCAGGGAGAAUAACCUUGGUGCAAGCCUGCCUGACUAAUAUUCCUUUGUUUAUGAUGUCCUUUUAUGUUGUACCUAAGGGGGUUAUAAAGAAAGCUGAUUUCUUCAGAUCCAGGAUGGUAUGGCAAGAUGAUGAGAAUGUCAAAAAAUACUAUCUAGUAAAUUGGAAAGAUUGUUGCCUUCCUAAAGAAAUGGGGGGAUUGGGGAUACUAAAUCUGGAAAUUAUGAAUAUUGCGAUUUUGGCUAAAUGGUUUUGGAAAAUGGAAAAUGAAAAGGGCCUGUGGCAGGAUAUUUUGGGAGACAAAUAUAUAAAGGGGGGUGCUUGGCUUUAAUAUGUAAAAAGCCAGGGGAUUCAAAAUUCUGGGCUAGCCUGCUAAAAGUCAAAGAAAUCUUUUACAAAUUUGUAAAGAAAAAAGUGGGGGAUGGAAGAAAGACUAGAUUUUGAGAAGAUACAUGGGUUGAUGAUAAACCUUCACUACUAGGAAAAGGCCUACUAAUGGCGCACCUAAUUUGGCCAUUAAUGGUGCAUUAGUGGUGCGCCAUUAGUGCCACGCCAUUAGUAUAUUUUACUAAUGGCGCACCACUGGUGCGCCAUUAGUAUCUGGUAUACUAAUGGCGCACCUCAGAUGCGCCAUUAGUAUAUACAACAGUGCACCAUUAGUAUGCCUCCCAGGGGCCAUGUAUACCCAGGUGCUUUGGCAUACUAAUGGCGCACCACAACAAGAUGCGCCAUUAGUAACUUCGGCAUACUAAUGGCGCACUGUUUAAUGAUGCGCCAUUAGUAUCCUUUGGCAUACUAAUGGCGCACUGUGAUGUGAUGCGCCAUUAGUAUGAAUAUUAGGUUUUUUAUUUUUUAAUUUUCUGUUUUUUGCACAGGUUACAAAAUGUAUAAUUCGACAAAAUAUAGACAUCACACAUCAACAACAAAUUCAUCGAAUACAAUAGAAGAUUAGUCUCUGAAUACAAUUCAUCAUAUUAGUCUCCGAAUACAAUUCAUCAUAUUAGUCUCCGAAUUGAAAAGACCGAACAAAGAUAGAACAUUAUAUUACAAGUCUCGAGACCGCGAGUAGCGAGUUUGUCUUCAUAUUACAAGUCGAUAUCGAUCAUCUAAACUACCAUCACAUAGAAGAGAGCUGCGGUCAUCACGAUGAGCAUCAUCACGAUGAAACUCGUCUUCAUCCGGUUCCUCCAACGCUCCCUCCCCUCUCCCGCUAGAUAGCGUGCGUAUCUAGAUUCAGCCUCGGCCCUAGUGGUGUAUCCUUUGUAACUGUUACCGCUGAAUCGGUGAACCUAUCUCCGACACUUCUCCCAGUCGUCGUAGACUCCGGGAACCUUACCCUUGUACACGACAUACGACGGCAUCGCUAUGCACUAGCCAAAUGAAACGUUAGUACCAAUUCACAGACAAUACAUAAGCAAUAUAUAAGUAUGCAACAGAACGAUCGGAAGAGAAAAGCAAGACAUUAAUAGCAUUGAUUACAUCUAAGUUGAACGACUCUCGAAACCAAAGAGACAUACUACAAGUUCAUUAAAGUUUAAUUACAACAUGAGCCAAUCGAUGUUUCAGAACUAGACACAGCAUCACUGCUUUCGACUCGACUCAAGGGACCGGAGCGUGGAUGAAGCCGCCGUCUACCGUGGGAGUCAUGAAAUAACGGGCGUUGUCAGCCUGCAUUUGUAGCAUUGUGUCGAUGUCACUGUUGGACGGUUGAUUUCUGAGGUAGAACUGCCCCGAGGUACGAAGGACAUCUUGAUGGAUGAUUUCCGCAAACUCCGACUGGAAGCGAAAGAAUUCUUGUCUGAUGUCCGCGUCCUGGAUUGCCGACACGCUCGCGGCCCAAUCUUUGAGUUUACUUGGUAGCAGAAGUUGAUGAUGGUCCCGUACGAUCGCCCGCAUGUGAUGGAUGGCGUAGUAGGCACCCUUCUGACCGCCAGGCGGCUGCUUGACGCAGCAGAACGUCGUAUUGUGGGAGAACACGUGCUUGCCGUACGUACAAUAGGCCUGGUGAAGGUGCCUCCGGAUUUGGCGUAGCCCGGGAGAACAUCAUCAAGAACCUUCUUGACAUUUGUGUAGUCCACGUUCGACUGACUGUCCGGGUCGAAAUACGUGGCCAUGGAAUAUUUGGGGCUUAGGAGGAUGAGCGUGCAAUGUGUGUCACUGCAGAAAACACGGAAUGUUAAAAGAAAAACGAUUGAAAUCUAAGAAUUCAUAUGUUACGGGCCGGUUGAGGGGAGGACUUACUCGGGAAAGUAAGGCACGAGGAAGUUAUCCUUAUCUUGGUUUGCCAGAAUGACGCCUUCGAGGUAAGAACUCGCGACUUGUCGGUCCCCAGCGCUGCCCAAGAUCUUGGCACGCAUGUAGAAGGAGUCGACUAUCACGAUGUCCGGGGUCUUGUCGCGAAUAAUCCGCAUCUCCAUACUCAGCGAAAAUAGCCGGACAAAGGUGUAGUGCAGCGGAUGAAGGUUCAACAUAGCGUGGAUGUCAUCAAACCACAGGACGAUCGUACGCCCGAUGGAGUUAUCGACAAAGACCUUGCCUUCUGGCACCUUGGCCACGAAAACUGGGUAUGCCACAUCCUUCUCUCUGAGACGCCGCUUCUCCAAAGAAAGAACACUGUCAUGCAGACUCCGCAUAGCACCGGUUGCAGCAUUGAGCAUAUUUGUCGGUAGCAUCGCCCUACCCGCCACAUGCACCCUCCUCGAGAUAUCCUCAGGUGAAGGUGGCCCGUCCUGAGCAUGGAUCGUACUUGGUGCCGGCUGGCCCGCAUCCUUGUUAGUCUUUCUUUUGCGUGCCUUCUUCUUCUCCUGUAAUGGGACCGAGUUCUGCUCACAGACCGCCUUCUUGAGUGUGUUGGGGCUGAUAAUAUUUCGCACCUCGCCUAUCUGAGGCUCGGUGAAGUCGGCAGCUGGAGGCGUCUCCUGAGAGCUGAACGGCAUACGACGCCUGUUGCAACUUGGCUUCUCCGCGGUACCAGCUAGAUCGCGCACGUCUUUUGUUGGGUUGGGUUCUUGAGAAGGAGGCCCCAUGAAGUCGCCACCGUACCCAUGUUCGGCAAAGUACUGAUCGACGUUGCCAAAUGUAUCGUCGUCGUCGUCGUUCUGAUCCUGUGCCAUAUGCAUGUUUGGAUCCAGUGGCAUAGGGAUGCCGGCACCGUUGCGGCGGUCUUGCCAUGGGGCCGACUUGGCGCCGGCACGACUGGCGGUGUUAUCUUUGGGGUGGUAUCCCCCGCCCCCAAACGAAUCUGGCUCUUCAGCCAAAGCAGGGGCCAGCUCAGGCAGGCGCUGAGGGUCAUCACGUCAUCAUCGUCGGCCCCGACGGGUCGAAUCGGAGGUAACAACUCGUCGCAGCCUGGCAGCACCCGAACCAGUUCAACCCUAAACAAGUUGGGUGGCAUCUGGGUACCGUGGAACAAGGGGUUGCUCGGUUGAACGAUUUUGCCCUUGGCGACAUCGACCAACUCGUUGUUCACGAAGUGCAGGAGAGUGCACGGAACGUCGGCGGCGCCCUGCGUAAACAUGUAGGGCGUCAGGGAUGCCCAGUCAAAGGCAAGGAGAUGAAGUCCUCGGCCGAGAGAGGCUUAAUUAGUUACCGUGAUGAUGGCGUCGAGCUCGGCUAAUGUCGAGGCACCGCCAACGGCGGGCGUGCAGUUGACGGAGGGGCCACUUGCUGCAGAGGUGCCGGCCGGCGUACACCCGGGUGCAUUAAGCUCCCGUGCCGGCGUCGGAGACACCAAUGCCGCCUCCGCCGGAGACACCAAUGGCCCCGCCAUCGCAUUCUGCGAGUUGCUGGCCGUGAAGCUAGGAAUCGGGGGCGGCCCCUGUUGGACGCCCGCAAUCCACACACUCAACCCCUGGAUCAAGGUAGGCACAAUGGCGGUGAUCGUCGCUCCGAGUUGUUGUUGCACUUGCUCUUGGACAAUCUCUGGAAUCCGCGCCACCUGUGCCUUGAGUUCUUGAACCUCGCGCGCCUGGCUUUCCGAGCUGGUAUUUUUCUCCUUCCGCACACCAGCGGUAUAGUAUGACCCCCAUUUUGUGGACAAGCCUUUGCCGGCCACACGACCAGCUGACGUCGGCUUACUGAGCUUAUCCUUGUUCUUCAUUACAUUCAACGCCCUAUUUAGAGUGGUGUCCCAAGGGUUGCUCUUAGUCGACCCCGCGCUACUGCUUUCAGUCGCCUGUGGAAGGAAUGUGAACCAUUUAGAAAUUUGGCUUCAUUAAUUAGAAUGCAACCAUAUGGAGCUAAUUACGCGGGGGUGUAUUCCUUACCAGAACAAGCGCAAGCGCCCUGGUCUUCGGAUCCGUGGUAAGCUCCUUUGUUAUCGGGUCCUCCUUGUACCGGGCCCUGACAUAGUUCCUGGUCUGCUUGUUACCGCUGUAUUUCUCGAAGCGGGGCGGUAGGCCUUGCUCGGCACGCUCCGUGUCCUCCUUGUCCCAUAUAGGCUCCGCCACUCUGUAACCGCCGGGACCGAGUUUGUGUUCCCCUAAGUUCAACUCCCGCAUUUCUUUCCCCCACUGACUUGAUUGGGAGUUUGCAGUGCUCGAGCAAUUGAUCUUUAAGUCGUUGUAGUCAUCUUCGGUGAUCGAAGGAUUUUUCUCCUUGAUCUUCUCAUAACUCUCACCUUUCUCGAUCAUUCUCUUCACAUUGCUUUUCCAAGUAGACAGGGCCUUGCUCAUCUUCGUGAGGGCAGCAUUGUUCACUUUAUUCCCUUUGAGGCUUGUGUUUUCAAAAUCAGCGGGGAACUUGUAUCGUUCAUGCAGCUUCGUGAAGAGGAGGUUGCACAAAUUCCCUCGGUCAGGAUGCCUCAGGUUCUCGGUGUUGAUCGAGACGGUGCUCCAGAGAAUGCACCCGAGCUGAAGCGAGUACCCCUUGACUAUUCGUUCGGGCGCCGUUGGAUUCCCGUCGGAGUCCACUUCAGUAACUUCCUCCUUGAGGGUGCGGAGCACGGUCGGGCGCCGGUCCUUCCGUUGCCUCUUCUGUUGGCUGCCAUCUGUGCGUGCGCCGCCAUCAUCAGUGGUGGCAUCCUCGACGGCACCAUCAGUGGUGGCAUCAGUGGGGUCAUCCUCGGCGGUACCAUCAGUGGUCUCAGGAUCGGUGCGGAAGGCGGCGUCCUCAUACAAGUGAGGUUGUUCCUCCAUCUCCUGGGACAGCUCCCAGAAUGCCUUGCCGCCCGAACCCCCGGCCUGAUCGUUGUUGGCCAUGUUUCUCUCUAAAUAGGAACAAAGUUUGGUCAAAAAGUUGGUUAUUGUCAAGGAACAAGAUCAUGGUCUCAUCAUUUAGGGUUUGUCGACACCGAGGCAUCCUAAAAGCUAAGCUUUUAUCAUUGAGGGUUUUUCGACGCCGAGGCACCCUAAAAGCCUAAGCUUUCAUCAUUAGUCACAAGUACCCCGGCCCAUGCAUUAGUCACAAGUACCCCAUAUGUCCUAUUUUUAGCAAAGUCAUGCUAAAAUUCACGGAAAAUUUCAGCAUGACAUUUGCUGAAAAUAGGACAUAUGGAGUACCCGAAUUUGCUGGAACGGAAGUUAAUCGACAUUCCAGCAAACUCAAGGGCCUCUCGGGUGGACAAGGCAAAAAAGGCCUUCAUCACAACAUGGAAAAUACAUUGGCAUGUGAAGAGGUGAACCAAUAUAUGCAUCUCCAAGCAGUAUCAUUCAACAUUUUGGACAAACCACUACAAGCAAUACUGGAUCAGAAUGUUUUUUAUACAUAACUGCUAAAACCCUAGGAGUUAACCGAGCCACCAACAGAAUGUGGACUUAAAAAGAGAGAGUGCUUAGAAUGACUGUACAUAACUGUCAUUAUACAUAACUGUCAUUCUACGCUGUCUUGUGAUGGCACUGUGCUUAGAAUGACAGUACAGUCAAGAUAAUGUAAUACUCCUGUAAUUUAUUUCUGUUGCUAGCUGCUGUAAGUAGUUUCAUCACCAUCACAACCAGCAAUUAAAACCAUCCUGUUUGCAAACACAGCAUCUAUAUGAGGAUUAUUUUUGGUCACCAGUAAAAGUGGCACUGUGCUUCACUUGUCCUAGCUGCAUGUAUGUGAGGAUUACUUUUUAUGAUGACCACAUAUACAUAUGGAGGAUGGGGCAUUCUACUCGGCUAGCCAGUGUAUUUUCUUCCGAUUCACAUUCCAAGAGCCUCUUGCUUUGGCUUAUGAGUGAGUAGGAUGCAGUUCUCAAUUUGUUUUAGAUGGAAGGAUGGGGCAUGCAACGCUGAAUUUUAAAAUAAUAUAGCCCAAACACAGGCAAGCUAAAAUCUGAGACUUAAAAUGAUGCUGGCCCUUGCCAAGCCAUGUGAAAGAAGAGAGGGAAAAACCAUCAGAGUGUAGAAGGAGGUGAAGAAAAGGAGCUAGCUAAACCGUAAACAAAUAAACUGAGACUACUGGCACAUUGAUGGAGGGUUUGCCUGUCAUGUUGUUGCUUGGCACGAUUACUCCGCCGGAGUAACAGCUCUGCUGCAAAGUUUGCGACCUAGGUAGCUGGCCACUAUUUGUUCUCAUAACUUUUUGCAUUUGUCCAUUCCAUAGGGCAACAGCCACAUCGCUGAAGGGGUGCUCCAUCGUUUUCCAAACCUCUAGACAGAUCAAGAUGGUUGUACGAAAUACGGAUACUGGGAGUGGAUGACACUUAAAGCUAAAAGCCUAAAACUCUAAGCUUGUCCCACCAAUAUAGAAGAGGUUGCUAGGCAGCGUAGAAUGACAGUACAGUCAAGAUCAUCUUGUACAGUACAGUCAAUAUUCAUCAGCGAGUCGUGUACUUUAUGCACUGCAUAUUCCUGUCUUGUGAUGGCAGUACAGUCAAGAUAAUGUAAUAUCUAUGAUAUCAGUAAAUCAAGGUAACAAGCGAAUGACAUACUCGCAUGGUGACAUCUACUCAAAUUAGCAUGAUACUUGCACUGGCUAGUAAACAAUGCGAAAUGAUAUGUAAAUACUAUUAUCGCUUCAUCUGUAAUUCUUAACUCACAAUGCUGCUCGGCUUAGUUAAUGUAGCAAGAACUCACCAAAACUUUGUAUCUUUAUGUUCUGUUUUGACAGAACAAGAAUUCUUGGCCAGCCUCAGUGCCGUGUAUCAUGAAACCUUAAUUAGAAAACACUUCUAUCAGUUUACUUCAAAACAUAGGUAAAAUUUAGGAGCUACAGAAAGUAGAGCUACCAGAAAACAAAUUUGCAGUGAUAAAAACAUAUUUGCAAGCAAAGCACUUAGAGAGGCACUUUAAUAGCAUGCAAAUCUUUCAGUUACGUGAGAAAAGAAUCUGUACAUGUAGCACACAGAUGGUAAUUUGGUGAGCAUCUCAAAGUAGACCACUGAUAACAGAAAUAAUAUGCAAGAGUUUAAUAUUGAGGAAUUCUGACAGUGUAAGCCACAAUUAUGUACGACAGAAUUGUGAUAUUCUACAAAUCUCCAUAGCAAAACAAAACAUCUCCUGGAUGCAAGAAUAACCACAUGCUCAACUUGGGUUCUCUCAAAUAAAAACAAAAAGCACAUGCUCACCUUGGGUGGGCAGAGAACGAGCUCCGGGGAGGUGGUCGGGGAGGAGCUCCGGGAGGGAGAGGUCGAGGGCGGCGUCACGGAGGUCGGAGAGGUCGCUGAAGGCGCUGGCGGCGACAGCGCCGGUGAGCCCCAGCAGCGAGAGCGCGGCCGCGCGACGGGCCCACGCUGCGGCGCCCUCGUCCGACGGCGGAGGCGGAGGAGGUGGAGGCGGAGCGGCCUUGGGCUUGGGCUGGGCGGAGAGGCGCCAGAGGAGGAGAGGGGCGGGCGUCGAGGCGUCGAGGCGGCGUCGGGGCGGCGUCGAGGCGGCGGGGCAGCGGCGUCGGGAGAGGAGAGGGGAAGGGGAUCGAGGGCGAGGGCGAGGGAGAGAAAGGGGAUAGGUUUGGGCCGGGGAGGAAGUAUGGAUGGGGGCGGCACAAUACUAAUGGCGCACCACACCUCGGUGCGCCAUUAGUACAUCCAUACUAAUGGCGCACCUCGCCCUGGUGCGCCAUUAGUAUUUUUUUUUAUUUCUGCUCGAGCCAACAGGUUAUCUUCCACCUGACCUGAUCCACAUCAAGCUCCCUCUACUAGCUCGAUUGGUCAGCAACCAGUUCUCACACUAGGAGGUCUUGGGUUUGAUUCCUAGGCUCCACAAUUUUUUUUAUGCAUUUAAAAUGUUGUUUGAUACUUAUUUGUGUUUAAAUAUGUUCAAACUUGUUUAAAUCAUAACAGUAAUAUUUUUUUUACAAGACAGUAAUAAUUUUUUUUAAANNNNNNNNNNNNNNNNNNNNNNNNNNNNNNNNNNNNNNNNNNNNNNNNNNNNNNNNNNNNNNNNNNNNNNNNNNNNNNNNNNNNNNNNNNNNNNNNNNNNNNNNNNNNNNNNNNNNNNNNNNNNNNNNNNNNNNNNNNNNNNNNNNNNNNNNNNNNNNNNNNNNNNNNNNNNNNNNNNNNNNNNNNNNNNNNNNNNNNNNNNNNNNNNNNNNNNNNNNNNNNNNNNNNNNNNNNNNNNNNNNNNNNNNNNNNNNNNNNNNNNNNNNNNNNNNNNNNNNNNNNNNNNNNNNNNNNNNNNNNNNNNNNNNNNNNNNNNNNNNNNNNNNNNNNNNNNNNNNNNNNNNNNNNNNNNNNNNNNNNNNNNNNNNNNNNNNNNNNNNNNNNNNNNNNNNNNNNNNNNNNNNNNNNNNNNNNNNNNNNNNNNNNNNNNNNNNNNNNNNNNNNNNNNNNNNNNNNNNNNNNNNNNNNNNNNNNNNNNNNNNNNNNNNNNNNNNNNNNNNNNNNNNNNNNNNNNNNNNNNNNNNNNNNNNNNNNNNNNNNNNNNNNNNNNNNNNNNNNNNNNNNNNNNNNNNNNNNNNNNNNNNNNNNNNNNNNNNNNNNNNNNNNNNNNNNNNNNNNNNNNNNNNNNNNNNNNNNNNNNNGGCGGUUGAGUAGGGGAAUCGAGGGUGCGGGGGGUCGGCGGCGGCGGCCGGUGGACCGGGGGGUGCUCGGCGGCGAGGGGGACCGAAUCUGGCGAGGUGGGAUAGCGAUCGAGAUGGAGGGGGAUCGAGAUCGAGUGUCCAUGAAAUUUAAAAAUAUUCAUGAUAGUUCAAAAAGUGCCCAUGAAAUACAAUCGAGAAAUGAAGGCUACGAUUUAAAUACAAUCGAUUUUAGCUAGCUAUCUGUUCACAAUCUUCUUGCCCUUCUUUUUCGCAAAUGGAGUUCUUCUGUGGAACGGACGUCCUUUAGGUAGGGUGGUCCUGCUUCUUCUUGUGGUGUAUGCUGCUACUUCAUCAUCGUCGUCAUGUUCGAUCCUCGGGUCACCGUACUUGUCGAAGUCUUGCUCAUUGGCUACUCCAUCCAUUCCGAUGAUCUUCCUUUUGCCUCUCCUCACGACAACACGACUGGGCUUUGACGGGUCGGUAAUGAAGAAGCAUUGGUCAACUUGGGAAGCCAGUACCCAUGGCUCAUUUUUCGUGGUGACGUUUGCGCCCGCGGUCUUGGAUUUGGCUUCGGGUAUAACCAUGAUGGUGAAAUACCGGUCUUCUUUUAGGACGCUCUUCGCCCAUCUGACACGGAACAUCGGGACCUUCUCUCCAGCAUAGCUCAGCUCCCAGAUCUCCUCGAUCCUUCCGUAGUAUCUGUCCUUGUCAUUACUGGUGUAGGAUUCCAUCGUUACCCCAGAGUUCUGAUAACCAUCGCUCUUCAUGUCCUUGGCCUCGGUGUAGAAUGUGUAGCCGUUGAUAUCGUACGCCUCAUAGGUCAUCAGGUUGUGCUCGGCGCCCUGUGACAAGGCGAAUAUGAGUUGUUCUUCCAUGGAAGAAUCCUCAUGUAAAGGGUACGACAGAAGCUUCUGCUUGAACCAACGCGUGAAACAUGAGUUGUGCUCUUCGAUUAUAUCUCCGUUCAUCCUCUGUUGGCCUCGGUCAUUGUACGUCUUCUUAAUAAAGGUUUUGUGCUCUACCACCCAAGGAUCGACCACGUCUAUGUGUUGUAGCGCGACUAGGUUUGCUCUUUCAAAGUCGGCGAGUCGACCCUCUAAGUCGACAUGCAUUUCGCGGCGACCCUCACGGUGACCCCAUCCAGCGAGCCUGCCGAGGUGCCUGUUGACGGGCAGACCAACGGGAUUCUCGAUGCCUAGAUAAUUCAUGCAGUAGGAGAUGCACUCUUCGGUCAGAAAGCCCCUGGCUAUACUUCCCUCUGGACGUGACAUGUUGCGAACGUAUCCUUUGAUGACACCAUUCAUCCUUUCGAACGGCAUCAUGCUGUGCAGGAACAUCGGCCCAAGUUGGAUGAUAUCCUCCAUUAUAUGGACCAGCAGAUGCACCAUAACGUCGAAGAAUGCGGGCGGGAAGUACAUCUCAAGCUCGCAUAGUAUCACCACGAUCUCUUCCUGUAGCCUUCUGAGUUGCCUCACGCCAAUCGACUUCCGAGAGAUGACGUCGAAAAAGUUGCAUAGGCCAAAUAGUGUUUCACGGACGUGCGCGUCCAUGAUCCCAUGGAUUGCAACUGGAAGUAUCUGCGUCAUCAGCACGUGACAGUCGUGAGACUUCAUCCCACUGAACUUCUGCUUCGCUAGGUCUAGGUAUCUGCUUAUCUUCCCCGCGUAACCGUAAGGAAGUUUUACUCCUAGGAGGCAGGUGAAAAACUGCUUGUUCUCCUCCUGACUUAGAGUGAAGCACACGGGAGGGUAGUCAUUUCCGGUCUUCUUGGCCUUUUUGCCGUUGCGAUGACUUACUGUGUCCUGCUUCGCCUCAUCAUCAUAAUCAUCAUCAUCAUCAUCAUCAUCAUCAUUAGCGUGAAGCUCCUGCCUGAUGCCCAUUGAUUUCAAGUAUGCCCUUGCUUUCGGCCCAUCUUUGGUCCUCUCCGGCAUGUUGAGCAGGGUACCAAGCAGACUCUCGCACACGUUCUUCGCGAUAUGCAUGACAUCAAGGUUGUGAGGCACACGGUGGAUCUUCCAGUACGGCAAGUCCCAGAAAACAGACCUCGUUUUCCAUACCUUCAGCAGCAGCUCUGGCGCCUUUCGCUUCUUUCCCGCCUCUGGCGCCUUUUGCUUCUUUCCCGGCAGUGGGUAGUCUUUCCAAUUUUUCAACAACUUGUCUAUUUCCUCGCCGCUGCUCGUACACGGGCGUUUUCGGGGUUUGGUUUCACCAUCGAACAGAUCCUUGCGUUUCCUCCAUGGGUCAUCGUCACGAAGCCACCUUCGAUGUCCCAUGAACACGGUUUUCGAAGACCCGGGAUCUCUAUCUAGCUGGCGAUACGUUGUGUCAUCCAUGCACCUUACCCAUCCAGAAAAUCCGUGGAAUACCUGCCCCGCGAGAUAUCCGUAACCGAGAUAGUCGUGCACCGUCGUGAGCAGUGCGGCUCUCAUAGGGAAAUAUUCUUUCUCUGCGGCAUCCCACGUAUUGGCUGGCGUUUUCCACAGCGUGUCAAGCUCCUCUUUUAGCAGCCCAGAUACAGAUUGAUGUCGUUCCCUGGUUGUUUCGGCCCUUCAAUUAGCAUACUCAUGUGAAUGUACUUCCUCUUCACGCACAACCAGGGGGAAAGGUUGUACAUCCACACAAACACAGGCCAGGUGCUAUGUGUGCUUCUCUGGCUGCCAAACGGAUUGACUCCAUCGGUGCUCGCGCCCAGCACGAUGUUCCUUGGAUUGUUCCCAAAUUCUGGGUCUUCGAAGUUUAACGCUUGCCACUGGCUCGCAUCCUUAGGGUGACUCAGCAUCUUGUCUUUUUUAUCUAUCUCCGGAUCAUUUGCGUCAUCUUCUCGCUUCUUCUCCUCCAUAUCCGCGUGCCAACGCAGGAGCUUUGCUACCUUAGGGUCCGCGAAAUACCGCUGCAGACGAGGAGUGAUCGGAAAGUACCACACCACUUUUCGAGGAGCUUUCUUCCUCUUCUUGUAUCGAGUGACGCCGCACACUGGACAUAUGGUAGACUCCGCGUGCUCGUCCCGAUAAAUGAUACAAUUGUUCAUGCACACAUGGUAUUUCACGUGCGGUAAAUCCAAAGGACACACGAUUUUCUUCGCCUCCUCCAAACUGGUCGGGCACUUGUUCCCCUUGGGAAGAUGUUCGUGCCAGAAUGACAUGUUCUCGUCGAAGCAUGCGUCGGUCAUUUUGUGUUUUACCUUCAUCUCCAGAGUCAUGAGCGUUACUUUCAGGCGGGUAUCCUCGGGCCUGCAUCCUUCAUACAAUGGAGUAACCGCGUCUAACUCAAGUUGAUCCAUCUUGGCUUUCUCUCGGGCGGCAGCUCUUGCGUUAUCCGUCUGCUUGAGAAGCAGCUCUUGAAUAUGAGGGUCCUGCACCCAGCCCAUCGAUGGUCCAGCGUCGUCUGCUCCGCCGGCAUCAUCAUCUUCAUGAUCAUGCCCGUCGUCUGCUCCGGCAUCUUCCUCAUCAUCAUGUCCUGCAUCUUCUACAUGAUGACUGUGUACAGCAUCACCGUCGUGAUCAUCUCCUGGGGAUUCUUCGUCUUCUCGCCCGCCCGAGCCGCGGUGGUUAUCUUGCUGCCCUUCCUCAUUUCUUGCCCGGCCCCCAUGGAUGACUUCGUAGUCAUCUUCAUCACCUUGCCACCGAUAGCCAUCCAUGAAACCACGCAAGAGCAGGUGGUCCCGCACCUGCCCGGAAUCCGGGUCCGCAAUAAGGCUCUUCAGCUUGCAUCUUCGACACGGACAUCUUAUCUCCGUCUCGUUCUUUUGAAGCAUCUCGGCCUUCGCGGACCUCAAAAACCUAUUCACAAUGCCUUCGGUCAUCGUGCGGACCAUGGUCGCCUGCGGGGUAGAGCAAAACGAUAUUUUAGAACCAAGAAAAAAUUUGGCAUGACUUUCCCUAAAAAUAGGACCAAAAAGAAUGCUUAAUGCCAAAAUUCUCGCCGAAACGGAAAUGAAUCAACAUUCCGGCAAAAUAUUGGCAACUAUCGCAUUUCAAAUACCGGUACACCUCCAAACACAAACACAUGUGCAAUACCACAAACAUAUGCAACACCACGAACAUACAUAGAUCUAGCUAUGCCAUAAAAAGUGCAUGUGCACAUUGUUGUAGGGAGAACAACAUAAAUAUAGCUUCCCCCCUUACUUACCUAUCAAAAUAAGGUAAUUUAACCACUUAAAUUGAAUGAAUCUAUGGUGGAAAUGAGGUGAAAAAGAGGAGGCACCCGAGACAAGGAGGAGGUGGAGAGAAUGAAGUGGGGAGAAAGUUUGUGUGGGUAGGAGAGGCUGUCCAAAAUAUCUUGUUGCUGCCCACUUACUAAUGGCGCACCAACUCUAAAUGCGCCAUUAGUAAUCCAGGUUACUAAUGGCGCACCCUCUGGUGAUGCGCCAUUAGUAGUUUUGCAAAAAAAACAUACAAAUGGCGCACUGUUCCACAGUGCGCCAUUACUAGUUUAAACUAGUAAUGGCGCAUGGUGGCACAGUGUACCAUUAGUAGUUUUGCAAAAAAAGGAAUAAAAAAUAUAAUAUAAAAAACAACAUUAGUGGCGCACUUUCCUACAGGUGCGCCAUUACUAGUUACAACUAGUAAUGGCGCACUGAGUCUGGAUGCGCCAUUAGUAUGUUUGGACAGGCGCACUAGUUCAAUAUUUUUUUAUACUAAUGGCGCACCUUGGGCCAGGUGCGCCAUUAGUAGUUUCAACUCAAUGGCGUAUCAGAAGGUGGUGCGCCAUUAGUAUAUACUAAUGGCGCACCGCUUGUCUGGUGCGCCAUUAGUGUCAAUCCCAUCUAUAGCCCUUUUUCUAGUAGUGCUUUGAGGGAGGCCUACCCUAGACUGUACGAUAUAUGCUUUGACCAUAACAUUACUGUGGAGGAGGCCAUACAGAAAGGUUGGCAUGGAUUUAGAUUUAGAAGAACCCUACAUUUCUGUAGAGCUUUGGAAUAGUCUCAAAAAAAGAUGUGAGGAAAUUCAAAUGCAGGGAGGGGAGGAUAAAAUCCUCUGGACCCUCACCGCGGAUCAUAAAUUCUCUGUGGGAUCCUUGUAUAGGAAAUUGGUAGCUUCUGGGAUGAAAUUCUCACAGAAAUACUUAUGGAAGAUUAAAGUGCCUGCUAAACUGAAAGUGUUCCUAUGGUUGAUUAAUAAAAAAAGCAUAUUAACUAGAGAUGUACUGCUUAAAAAGGGAUGGAAGGGCGAGAAAAGAUGUGUCUUGUGUGGGAAAGAUGAAUCAAUUGAUCAUCUAUUCUUUUCUUGCUCGGUUGCUUCUUUGUUAUGGAGUUUGGUCAGAUGUGUGUGUGGUUUUAAAACUGUGCCGUCUAGUGUGAAAGACUGUUUUGGAGACUGGAUUAGGAAAUUUAACAAAGAUGAUAAGAAACUGGUGCUGGUGGGGAUUUCAGCCCUGCUUUGGUCAAUUUGGAAAAGUAGAAAUGCAAUUAUCUUUGAGAAUAAAAGGAUAAAUGAUCCUUUAUAUGUUGUCAAGCUAAUGUGCAGGUGGUUAAUUGACUGGUCUAUUAUGCAGAUAAAGGAGCCACCAAGAAAAGCGUUGGAGCUGGGAGCAAGGGUGCUAGAGCAGGCAGCAAAUGAAGUGUUCACAGCCAAGCAGGGAUGGAGGAUCAAUGUGGCUAGAUUGGAAUGAAUGAAGAAAGUCUCUCCUGCGGUGGUGAACCUGAUGUUUGGUGCUCCUGUAGAAU
rnacentral:lncRNA from 1 species